rnacentral:rRNA from 1 species
UACGUAGGACCCGAGCGUUGUCCGGAUUUACUGGGUAUAAAGGGUGCGUAGGCGGCCUUGUGCGUCAGAGGUGAAAUAUCCGGGCUUAACCCGGAGGGUGCCUUUGAUACGGCAGGGCUUGAGUGCGAGAGAGGAUGAUGGAAUUCCUGGUGUAGCGGUGAAAUGCGUAGAUAUCAGGAGGAACACCGGUGGCGAAGGCGGUCAUCUGGCUCGUAACUGACGCUGAGGCACGAAAGCGCGGGGAUCAAAC